GAGAGUAUAGCUAAGCAGUAGAGUGCAUGCUUAGAUUGCACGGGGUCCUGGGUUCAAUUCCCAGUACCUCCA
rnacentral:tRNA from 1 species